rnacentral:rRNA from 1 species
UACGUAGGGUGCAAGCGUUGUCCGGAAUUAUUGGGCGUAAAGAGCGUGUAGGCGGCCAGAUAGGUCUGCUGUGAAAACUCGAGGCUCAACCUCGAGCUGUCGGCGGAAACCAUCCGGCUAGAGUCCGGAAGAGGAGAGUGGAAUUCCCGGUGUAGCGGUGAAAUGCGCAGAUAUCGGGAAGAACACCUGUGGCGAAGGCGGCUCUCUGGCCCGGUACUGACGCUGAGGUGCGAAAGCGUGGGGAGCAAACAGG